UGUAACAUUCCGGAUUUUGAUAUAAAAAUAAUAAAUAAAUAAAAAUAGUGUGAGAUACUAUUUUUAUUGAAUUUAGAGAGGUAAAACAUAAGUCAGAAGUGACUUGUGCUGAAAUCGGAAUGAAAACAGAAGAUUUAUAAUUUUCUGUUGGAAACGGGACAGAUAAAUUAGCAGAAAAUGCACAGUGUCAGAAAAUUAUGAAAACUGGAGGAUAAGUCAGAAUUAUUUUUAUGAGGCUAGAUUUAAAGUUUCAUAUCAUUCUGACACCCGAAAGGUGGAAAAUAAAAUCCGACAGCUAUCUGACAAAGAUUACAGUUCGGUACAGCUUUCGGUGACCAAACGGGGUCAAAACUGAAAUGUUAAAAUUUUUUUGUACUUAUUAAGUAAAACUGAGACUGACUGUCAAAUUUGAGUGCAAAUGGGCAUUCAGAAGGGCUCCGGCGAAAAAUGUCAGUUUUAAACUGCCUGGAGUGAUAGUGUUUGAGGGGCUAUUAUGUAAUUAAGCUUGCCUUUCUCUUGUCUUCUCCCACAGCCGACCACACCACCAACACACGCACGCAUGGAGAGGGGGAGAGAAACCUUCAUUUCUCUCUCUAAAUAUCUCUCUCAUCUCUCUAAAUCUCUCUCUAAAAAUUGGAGGGUUGGUGGAGAGCGAGCUUGCGAACGCGUUGGGAGCGACGGAUCGAGCUUUCGUGCGGCCGUUGGAGCAACGUGCUUUCGUCGCGGCAUUCACAUUUUGGUAAGCUUUUGGGAUUUGGUUUAAAUCCUUCAUGAAUGAUGUUCUAGUAGUAUCUAGAGUGUUCUAAACAUAUUUGCUCCAUUUAAUUUGGAUUAUUUGGAGAUUAUUUGCACGUUAGGGCUCUGAAUGGGGUUUUGUAAAAUAGUAAGGUUUGAUCUCAUUUGACCCUCCGUAAACCUAAUUGCUAGGUAAACGAAUGCGUUGGCGAGGUCGGUUCGGCGAUUCGUCAAGCCGUUGUAAAGAUAUUGAAGAAACGGACUAUUUAGCUCCGUUUCCGCCUGGAGGGCCGAGGCAACAUCGUAAAAUCAUGAAAACGGAUUUGGAGCACCGUGGCACAUAACCGAAGACCUAUAAUUUUUGGAGCAGCGAUUCGACGCACGGUUGGUGAGUAUUAGUAAAAUCGGACCGAACUGGACACGGGUGCCGCGGGAGGCCGAUUGCAAUGUCGACAAGCAAUCGGAAAACGAUUUGAGGUGGGUUGUGUUUACCGAAGCGAUUAGGUCGCCCGGCAUAUCAAAGCGGAAUAUGAAUUUUUGUUGAUGCAUAUGUAUGUGUAUACGGGCAUGUUAGCAUUAUGUAAAUGUAUGCUAAUGGGUAGAAUACAUGCUAGUGAUAAUUGCAUAAUAAUGCAUUGGAAAGUACAUGCUAGUAAGUAGAUGCAAGUGAUGUGCAGGUUGGCAUUGUAAUGUGCUAGGUGAAAGAUAAUGCAUGUAAACCUAAUUGAUAGGUUUAGGGAAUUAUGCAUGUGAACCUAUUUGCUAAAUGGAAACAUAGGCAUGCUAGCAUCAUGUAAAUACUUGCUUGUUGAUGAUUGCAUAUAAAUAUUAUGUAUGCUAGUUGAUAAUUGCAUGUUGAUGCAUUAGAAGUGCAUGCUAGUUGAUAAUGGCAAAUUGCUAUGUUGAAAUAUAUGCUAGAUGUUAUUUGCAUGUGACAUGUUAACCUACAUGCCAGAAGAGAGCAUAGUGACAUAAUGAGAAAAGUAUAAUAUCCAUGUUGAUAACGUGGAUGUUUAUAGAAACUCGAUGUGGACAAUUAGGUAUUGAGUAGAUCGAGUGGCAUUAACCUACUGUUAAUAAACAUUGGUCGGACAAAGAUGACAUUGAACAUAGUGUUAGUAAACAUAGGUUGCAUUGAACCUAGUGUCAUGGACAUAGGUUGGAUAAGAGUGACAUACGAACCUAGUGUUAAAAAACAUAGGUUGAGCAUUAACGUAGUGUUGUUGAACCUAGGGUAAAUCAUGUGUGGCAUUAACCUAGUGUCGUGAACAUAGGUUGUCACGCCCCAAUCCUCGCCAAUUUGGUCGGAUUCGGGUCAUGUCAACAGACGCCGAACGGACAGCAUCUCCCUCGUCCGCCCAAGGCUCCAACAAACACGUAUAAUUAAACAAUCAACAAAGAGAUAUGCAAUUAUACAAGGCUUGCACGAGGACAAGCAACAACAGAAGCGAAAGCUCUAAGCUAAUAUAUACAACCAUACAUAAUACUUGAUUACAUUUGAACCAAAUAAAAGUAAACUGAACUAUUACAUUCUUUGCUUUCAUUCAUAAUUCCUUCCAUUUAGCUAUUCACCAAAUUACAUAUUUGUUUUCAACUUUACAACUUUCUAAAUCAACAAAAGAAGUUGAUACAUGUAAACCAAAAGGGAAAUGACUACAAAAUAUGAAAUAGUCCUGGUGGCCGCUAUCUACGGCACUAAACCCUUGUCACGGUCCUCCGCCGCCCCGCUCGUGCUCGGACCUGUGGGGUUAGUGGUGUGAGAACUACAACGAAGUUCCCAGUGGGUUCGGGAACCGACCUCGCCGACUUACCCACUAGGUCUAUCCAGGCAUAAGUAUAACAAAGGAAGAAAAAUAACCAGUACUAAUGCAUCUAAUACUAUGCCUGCAAAAGAAUGUCAGUGGAUAUAUGUAAUCAACAAUAUUUGGUAUGCAUGCAUGCAUGUUCUUUACCAUUACUUUGUCUUUCUGUACCCAAUCUUACCGGUUAACUUUGUUAACCCCAAUAGCUCACAAUUUCUUAUCCCGUCUACCGGGGGAGGCAAUUAGCACUACCACCCGAGGGAUCGUCGACGGGGUUCUUCCCCGUGGUGUCUACACUCCGGAGUACACCGCUUGAGGAGGAGCGACCUCCCUCAAGCCUAAGUCCACGUGAGCCUCGAUCCAAUCCUCAAGUUGAGGAUACAUAGCCACUAGUCAUAAUGCCGAUGUCUUAAUAGGUUCUUACAUAUUGUUCAUGUCAUGUUCUAAGUCAUUCUUGCCACGAUGUCAUUAUUGUCAAACCUUGUGUAACAAUAUCAUUUUCAAGGCCAAUCAUAUCUCUAUUGUCAAUGCCACCUUUGUUCACUAUAGUCAAGUCCAAGUCCCACAUUCACACAUCUCUCGGGUUCAAUCAUACAUGUUCAUUACGGUUCUUGUUCAAUCUCUAUGUUCAUCUACAUUAGAAGCAUAAUAUUGAAAUUCUAACCACUAGUCACAUGUAAGAUUACCCUACUAUGCAUGAAUGACUAUAUACAAUAUGCUCAAAGAUAAAGUGACAUAGACAUAGAAGGGAAUCCAACGAUUCUGGAAUGUACCCCCCACCUUUAAUAGUCGUGUAGGUGUAGAAUAUGACGACUCCCAAACUUUACGAAAGCCGAUUCCACGUCCUAUAACCAAAAUAGUGCCAUAUUAGGCCUUUUGUACAUGAACCAUACUUAAACAUUUUCGUAACGUCGAACGGAGUUGUCCAACGCGUCGAGGACAUCCCCAAUUAGGUUUCCACGAGGUCAAUUCGCCCUUGAAAAUUUCUAGGGCAAAAGCCCCAAAUUUGAGCCCUAACAAUGCCUUAUGCAAUUUUCUUUUAGAUUGAUCUCAUCUCUAAGCAAAAGAUAGCUUAGAAUCAUCUAAGAAGUAUUCUAAUAAAGUUUCCAAGCCUUUUGAACCAACCCUAGGGCCUCUACUUUGAGCCUUAGUGAUCCAUCAUGAGAGCCCUACAAGAAAACCAUGGAUUUCAUGGUUUCUUUGCUCAACAAGGUUCUAAAGCUAGAAAUAAACUCAAAACCCUAAAACUUUGGGUUGAAAUCCAAACCCUAGACUCUCUUGAACCAAAACCUCACCUUUGCCCAAGUUCCACCAAGCUCCUUCUUGUAGGUGAGCUUCUUGGACCACCAAAUGUUAAGGAUUUUAUAGAUUGGCGAAUUUCGUAAAGUUGUUUGGAGUCUUGAAAAGUUGAUCGCAGAAGUUUUUGAGCAAAGAUUCAAAUUGGAGGACAAAGACUCAUUCGGAAAGAUCGACACCUAAGGUAUGAAGAAAAGAUCAUUUGUGGUGAAGAUACAUAAUUAAAAUAAGUUCAAAAGGCUUAGAUUGUUUUUAAAUAACUUUUCUGAACUUUCUUGUGUUCUGGGACCGGUCUCUGAAAUGGAGAGACCGGUUCCCCCAAGGUCCUCAUUGCGUAAACCUUGAUGCAACCGGUCCCCUGUGAUGAGAGACCGGUUCCCGAACCUUGGUGAUUCUGUCGCGCAGCGAGGGACCGGUCUCAAGUUUGAGAGACCGGUUCCCGAACGUGGGGUUUUUGGUCACGCAGGGAGGGACCGGUUUCUCACUUGAGAGACCGGUCUCUCACAGACCGGUCUCCUCGACAGGACCGGUCUCUGAGGACGACACAGGUUUUUGAAAACGAUUUUUUACAAUCCUAGUCUACUUCUAAGUCUUCUAAACAUAUAAAUAAGCUAUGUGGGUCAUCUAAAAUUAAGGCUUUGAAUAUUUUACCAAUUCCAAACCCUAGAAACUUGUUUUCUUUCCGUUUCAAUGCUUAGAUUUACAUGAUGAGUUUCUAGCAAUCAACAUCGGCUUGAUUCUUCGUUUUUACUCAAUACUUCUUACGAGAAUCAAGUAGAUGAUUGAUUAAAGGUGAACCCUCAUAGCUUAUGGUUUUCAAAAGUUAAAUCACCACAAAUCUUCAAUUCUACAAUCUCCGGAAGGAGGUUCGGCGCGUGGAUCUCGCGUGAAGCCGAGAAUUCGGUGGACGUUUCGAGGAGUUGAGGCGUUGACGCUGCGAGGAGUUGCAGCUAGGUCGAUUGGUGGAUUCCUAUCGAUCGAGGACCGGCAAAGAUCACCGUCAACGAGAAAUCGGUAAAUUGAGUUGUGUGUUUUUGGUCGAAAUCACUUGUACUCAAGUUUUCUUAGUGGAUUUUCUUUGCGUGAUCGGUCCCGUGGGUUUUUCACUCCGAAUUGGAGUUUUCCCACGUUAAAUUCUCGGUGUGCUAUUUUAAUUUCCGCUAUUGUGUUUUGUUUGCAUCGAGAUUUUUCGAGUUUGCCGAAUUUACACCUAUUCACCCCCCUCUAGGUGUUACUUACCUUUUAGAUCCUUGGGAUCCAUAUCUAUCACCAAAACCCUAAACUCCCUCUUCUCCAAGUUCUUCUUCUUCUUCUCCUUCAAGCCCUAGAUGAGUUCGAGAGAUAGAGAGGAGAGGAAAUCAGGGUAAGGGUGUGCUUUCGCUAAGAAAAGGGAGAAGGGUCGAGUAUAUAAGGUGUUGUAACAAUUACAACAAGGUCCUCCCACUAUUUCCGUUGUGCACUGCCCAGACUGGGCGUUCUGAGCGGUGGGGGACCGAUCUCCCCAACCAAGGACCGGUCCUCGAGAGCUGCUCUCGCCGACUGCGCAGCCGGCGCACGAGGCAACCGGUCUCGGCCCGAGGCAACCGGUCUCUUCCCGCAGGGACCGGUUCCCGAGAGCUGGUUUACCAGGACUUAGCCAAUUUCUCGGCCAUCUCGCUGCCUACGCGUUCGGGGACCGGUCUCUCCCACCAGGGACCGGUCCCCGAGAGCACAAAACCUGCAGUUUUGCAGAUUUUAAUUUCUAAAGCUCUCGAAGAUUCCCAGUAAUGCACUUUUGCAUUAUUUGAUGCCUUCGGCCUUUCCGAAGCGUACCAAUCUCGCACUUUGGUCAUUUUGACCAAGGUUCGAAUUUAAUUACCGAGGUUUCGGUAUGUUACAUAGGUUGUGAACUGGACCUAGAGUUAAAGUGAACCUAGGUUAUGUGAUUGAGCUAUUAAACCUAGAGUCAGUUGGACCUAGGGUGGAAAGUGCAUUGGACCUGGUUAGGUCGAUACUAUAAGAUUUGAGACCAACCCUUGAGCUAUUUAAAGUGGAUUCCGGAAUCCCAAGACUUGUGAGCUCGAUAGUUCUUGGCCGCGGGUGCAUAUGGCAUGUUCCUCUCCCACCGGAAGAACUUUGAGUAUUAUGACUGAGCAAGAAUAGAGAGCGCUAGGGUGUAUGCGGCAUGUUCCUCUCCCUAUCGGGGAUCUCGGUUGCGGGUGUAUGCGGCAUGUUCCUCUCCCACCGAGGGAUCCCUGACCACGGUGCACGGACCUUUGGGCGGACCGUUUGGCAAUGUGGUUCUUGGCUUGCAAGCUGAGGUGCAUGUGAGAGUUCCUUCACCUCGAGCCGGGCAGAGCGCGGAUUAUCCGCAGUUGAUUGACUCGAGGCCGAGUCAAGUGGCUAGCUGGAAUAAGGUAGAUAGAACCUUGAGGGCUAGUAGUAAAUGUGAUAAACCUAAGGUAAUAGAAACCUUAGAGUUAGAUGAUAUGAACUAACGUUAGCAAGAUUGAAUGUAGAAUCAAUAGAUCUACUAGUUGUUGCAUAUAUAUUCAUGUUGCAGAUAGCAUGGCAUCGUUACAGUUGUGAGGCAAGGCAUGGUAAUGUUAGUUGCAUAUUUAAGAUAAAUAUAUAUAUAUAUAUAUAUAUAUAUAUCUGCUUAUUGGACUAACAUGUGUUUGCCUCCUUUGGACCUGUUGGUCGAGCUCUUCUCUUGAGUGGCCGUACCCACUGGGAGCCAUGAAGUUGGUUCUCACUCUACGUUGUUUUGGGGUGUUACAGGUUCGCACGUGAGCGGCGCGGUGGCGCGAGGAAAGGGCGUAGCUUCGUAGGUAGCGCCCUACCCCAGAGACCAGAGAUACAAGUACCCCAUGUCGGUAUAGCCUAGGGGUAUAGAAAAAGGAAAGAACAAGAAUGUAUCAAACUUAUAAUAAAUUUGUAAUAACUAGAUUGUAAUUUGGAAACUGAAUGUAAAAGAAACUGUGAUGUAAAAAUGUAAGCUGGUGAAUGCUUGUAAUAACUUAGUUGUUUAUGUUUUUGAUACUUCCUUAUGCAAUCUAUGCUUGAUUUCUGUUCCUGGCUGAAACAUCGUGAAUUGUAUUGAUUGUGACGCCUAGGACGUACAGGAAAAACUCUGUCCGUUCGGCGGUCUGUCGGCGUGCCCGAAUCCGACCAAAUAGGCGGGUGUCGAGGCGUGACAGAUAAGAUGGUAUCAGAGCAUAAAAGAAACAUAAAAAGAAUAAUAGAAAAUGGUUUAGUUGGAUCUAGGAGACCCGAGGAUAGCAAACCAUAGGAGAUUAAGGCUCAUGAGAGACGAGGACUUGUGACUUUUGGCGAAAGAUAAAUUGAUUGGGUUAUGUUGUAAACCUCUAAAACGGAUGUUAGAGGUAGACUCAAGGUGAGGCUUAUUCUCAACAGAGGGUGUUCAUGUUGGGUGCACACAACAUGAAGCCGAGUGAUGAGAAUAGACGCCCUUGCGUAACUUUUGUCCGAUUUGAGUUGGUAUUAAGUUUCUCGUGUUCGACCUUGAAGGUCGAGGAUUACUAGAGUUGUCGCGUUUUAGGAAGCGAUAGCACUGCGUAGGCGAUCUUCGUUAGAUCGGCGCGGGAUGGGCCAAGUGGCAUCCCUGGGCAAUUUAGGCGAGCGGAGACUUGAAACUUCGCGAGUUUUGGCGGCCCUCGUGACCUUUGAGAAAUUAACGGGAUCCUCGUCGUGUUAAACCACUUCUGGUCGAAUUGACCAAAAUGCAUCGAGAGAAAUAGUUGGACAAAAUCCAAUUGACAUUCCAACAAUGCUGGAAGGGUUAAAAUUGAGUUCCAAAAGAGUUAAGGAGGUUUUAGCAUUGCUCGGCGCGAGGCAGAGUCGAAAGGGAGCUAAAAUGGCAAUCUCGGCAAAGUGUACCGGUACAAUAUUCAUGCUGUACAGGUACAACCAUCGCAAACCGAGAGCAGAAUGCUCUCAGGUUUGCCUCUACGCGAGUGCGUUACCGGUAACACCCCUGGUGUGUACCGGUACACUUUGGCAGAACCCGAGUAGUUGCUCGCGGGUUUGCCUCUGCGAGAUCAUGUUACCGGUGACAGGGUGGCCCGUACCGGUACACUUUGGGUCUGACAGCAAAAAUAAAUCUGCUGCAAUUAUGGAAAAGAGAGGGGUUUAGAUGUGAUUGUGGCAGCUUGCAAAAUGGCCCCAACUCCUCCUCACUUGAUCACAGCCUAAGACCACCCAGCAUGUGGUUUUUCUCCCUCUAUUUCUCUAGGAGCCCUUCCCGAGUGUGGAUUGGUGGAGAUUAGAGGAGAUUUGAGGAUUAGACCUUGUGGAUAGAACAAGGCGGUGCAAUUGUGCGAGAGGGAGCGUGAGUCUAAUGGCAAGGAAAAAAGAAAAUAGGACGGCCAACGAGUGGAUUCGGUGGUCCGUCAAGUUCUCAAUUGAGUGCAAUGUGUUUGUGCUCGUGAUUUCGAGUUCCGGGGACCUACUGUAUUCGGUCCUUGGUGAGAUGUGUCGUUUGUGGGUAUUUUCGUUACCCACAACAGUGCGAGCUACGAGAGGGCGUUGAGGACAAUGCAACCUAAGGGUUCGCGGCAAGCGCCGGGUGGCCGUAGAUAAGCGACCCAGGUUGAGGAACCUGCUGCUGACGACGUCGUUGCAGGUAUGAGUUAUUGAUGCAAGCAUAUGUUUUGCAUGAUGUGAAGUUGAUGCAUUGCAUGCAAUGGUUAUGUGGUUAAUUACUAUUGUCGUGUAUGAGCAUAGUAGAGACCGAGUGGACGGGUAAGUAUAGAUACCUGGGCAUGCUCGUGUUGUGAGGGCGUAGUAACUGCCAGUACAGGGAUAGAGCCAGAUGGCACUAGUGAAGUGCUAGUAGUGAUCUAUGGCGAGAAGUGAGACUCGCGGUAGAGAUAGAAGUGGCGAAUCGACUCUCAAAGCAGUAUGAGUAGUAAAUUGCGAGAGUUGAGCCAUGAUGCUUAUGGGCACCCCAGUAAUCCGGAAAUUUCGGAUGUCAUUUCGGUAGGUCGAACAGUGAAAGUGAAUCACUGUUGAUAAAACAGUUGGUUAGUCGCCAAGUACUAGCACGUGGGCCUUGUAGUACCUCGAUGUGAGGUAGGAGGGUCAUGCUUGUGUAGUCAGCGUGCAUAGGCCAGAAUUGCCUAAUGCUGGACUUAGUGUGGAGCGCUAUAGAGGCGUGUGACGUUCGAGUAGAGUUACUCGUGGAGUGCGGAUUUAGUUCAGCCAAGUGAGUGUGUUGGCAGUAGCACUUAAGCUCUGCGAGGUGUGAAGCGUGCCAGGGAAUCACUCGUAGGGCGGAUGGCUCGCACUAGGUACCUAGGAGCCGGUAGUCAUACGUAUGCUCGAUAGAACGCGUCAUGUGAUUGAUAGUACACCGAGAGUACGAUGGUGACCCAACCUGGGGAUCUAUAACGGUUUGGGGUCUUAGUUGCUCCUGGUUGGAGUGUGUGCGAAUUCCCAAGUGAGAAUUUCGCCCGAUGAUAAUUGGGUCUGCAUUUGCGGGCGAGAGACGCUGCGUAUUAAGACAGGUUUAGGCGGUAGGCCUACGUAGGAUUGGUAGCCUUUGGUCCACCUGUGGAGACUGAAGAAAGCGAUUUGGCGGAUAGCCUUAUCGAGGAGUUUAGCUUGGAUUCACGAACGGAGUGUUCGUGUGAGCUCAUUGCGAAAAUAAUUUGACGUUGAUCGUGGCAUGUGGUAUCAGAUGAUGAAGUACUCCUUGUGAGACAUCAAACUAGUGAAAGCCACGUGAUGUUGGAGACUAUGCUCGUAAGCGAACUAAGACUUGAGAUGUGCCGAAGUGGGCCAUCUCACAUUAAAGUUAAAGGUCAGUGCAAAAUUAGAGCACUCACGACGGAGCAAUGCAUCGGUGAUAUUGCUUUUAAGCAAUGUCAGUGAUCGAAUCAGAAUGUAUUCCCUGAAAGGAAGGUAAGUGCAAAGAAGAGUUCUUUAUGUACCCAAUGGCGAGUGGUGUUGGAGCGCGUAGAGUCGUCGAGUACCGACUUGCGCUGCCACUAUGACUUGCAAGACCUGUGAUGCACUUUUAUAUCAUACUUUGCAAAUGUGUUUAGGAUUAAACCAACGUCCUUUAGUAUGAGCCGCUUCUGGAACCACGAUAGUGUGAAGCCGCUUGGGAGUGGGAGAAUGAGUUGGUACCCCCAAUUGCUCGCGGAGCUGAAUUGAUGCGUGGUUUGAAUUUCGCGGACGAAAUUCUUUUUGAAGGGUGGAGAAUGUAACAUACCGGAUUUUGAUAUAAAAAUAAUAAAUAAAUAAAAAUAGUGUAAGAUACUAUUUUUAUUGAAUUUAGAGAGGUAAAAUAUAAGUCAGAAGUGACUUGUGCUGAAAUCGGAAUGAAAACAGAAGAUUUAUAAUUUUCUGUUGGAAACGGGACAGAUAAAUUAGCAGAAAAUGCACAGUGUCAGAAAAUUAUAAAAACUGGAGGAUAAGUCAGAAUUAUUUUUAUGAGGCUAUAUUUAAAGUUUCAUAUCAUUCUGACACCCGGAAGGUAGAAAAUAAAAUCCGACAGCUAUCUGAUAAAGAUUACAAUUCGAUAUAAUUUUCGGUGACCAAACGGGGUCGAAACUGAAAUGUUAAAAUUU
rnacentral:lncRNA from 1 species